GUGUUCAAGUAGUUAGGACGUGCGAUUACUUAAUCAAAAUCUAGAGUAUUCAGUUGGUGAAAUGAAUUGUCCAAGUUACACCACCUACGUUAAUUUGAUCCCUAUACAUUAUAAAUGAGAGCAGAUACCACUUUUCCGGCUUCGGAUUUUAUUUCCCCCAGUGACUAAUCUACGUCAACAAUAACGGACUAAAUGUUUCAUUGUAACCUGGGAAUUAUCCCAAGGGUGACAUCAGAAUUACCUCGUAAUUACUUUUGAAUAUAUGGUAAAUAUUUAAAUAUGUUAAUUAUAUACAUAUGUGAUUAAAAAUAAAUUUCUGAUAUAAUUAA